UACGAAGGGGGCGAGCGUUGUUCGGAAUUACUGGGCGUAAAGGGCGCGUAGGCGGUGUGUCAAGUCAGGCGUGAAAGCCCCGGGCUCAACCUGGGAACCGCGCUUGAGACUGGCACGCUCGAGUCCGGGAGAGGAUGGUGGAAUUCCCAGUGUAGAGGUGAAAUUCGUAGAUAUUGGGAAGAACACCGAUGGCGAAGGCAGCCAUCUGGACCGGCACUGACGCUGAGGCGCGAAAGCGUGGGUAGCAAACAGG
rnacentral:rRNA from 1 species